ACGAGUACAUCAGAGAAGAAUCGAGACCACGAAGUCACAAGGAGUUUCUGUCGAGGAGCCUGAGACAGUGGGAUUCAGCUUCAAGUGGGACGCUUUGCUCACCAUUAAAUUUCUUGUGUCUUCUCUUCGUUCAGUGUUCUCUAAUGUGUUUGCUCGGUCAGUCAUUUCACUCUUAGGCUAUGCUGCUUCAAAUGAAAUAGCCAGGCAAGCUGCUCAAAUCCUGUUUAAUCCAGACACAGACUACGACGAGGUAGGACGAUUUAAUUGGC